UACGUAGGGUGCAAGCGUUAAUCGGAAUUACUGGGCGUAAAGCGUGCGCAGGCGGUUAUGCAAGACAGAUGUGAAAUCCCCGGGCUCAACCUGGGAACUGCAUUUGUGAGUGCAUGGCUAGAGUACGGUAGAGGGGGAUGGAAUUCCGCGUGUAGCAGUGAAAUGCGUAGAUAUGCGGAGGAACACCGAUGGCGAAGGCAAUCCCCUGGACCUGUACUGACGCUCAUGCACGAAAGCGUGGGGAGCAAACAGG
rnacentral:rRNA from 1 species